rnacentral:rRNA from 1 species
GAUGAACGCUAGCUACAGGCUUAACACAUGCAAGUCGAGGGGAAACGAUAGAGAAAGCUUGCUUUUUCUAGGCGUCGACCGGCGCACGGGUGAGUAACGCGUAUCCAACCUGCCCAUCACUUGGGGAUAACCUUGCGAAAGUAAGACUAAUACCCAAUGACGUCUCUAGAAGACAUCUGAAGGAGAUUAAAGAUUUAUCGGUGUACGAUGGGGAUGCGUUCCAUUAGGUAGUAGGCGGGGUAACGGCCCACCUAGCCAACGAUGGAUAGGGGUUCUGAGAGGAAGGUCCCCCACAUUGGAACUGAGACACGGUCCAAACUCCUACGGGAGGCAGCAGUGAGGAAUAUUGGUCAAUGGACGAGAGUCUGAACCAGCCAAGUAGCGUGAAGGAUGAAGGUCCUACGGAUUGUAAACUUCUUUUAUAAGGGAAUAAACCCUCCCACGUGUGGGAGCUUGUAUGUACCUUAUGAAUAAGCAUCGGCUAACUCCGUG